rnacentral:lncRNA from 1 species
AGGCCGGAGCCUGAGAUCCAUCUCUACUGUCCCGCGUGUUGCCCCUCGGGAGCACUAGGUGACUUUGUCACAUCCUCUGUUGCCCUGAGAUCUGGAGGUACUGGGAAAUGCAUAGCUAAGAUGCCAGGACAUCCUGGAAACCAGGAAAUGUUUGUCUGCAUCUUGUUAUUGGGCCACAAGAACACACAGCCAGACCCAGUUUGGUCCAGGAACAACAUCUGGCAAGCUAGCCAAGAGUCACUGAAAUGGUGCUGCACUCAGUGGCCCGUGAUUGUGGCGAGAUGGUCAUUUGGAGACUCCCAGAAGCUGCUGGAUAAGAUUGUCCUGGGGACUCUCCCAGGGGCUAUUCCAUGUGCAAAAACCACAUGUCCCUCUCACCACUGGGGAAGAAUGGUGAUCAGGCAGGAGUGGAUGCACUCAAAGGGAAAAGUCUUUCUCUAGGACCUGGAAAUGAUUGCUCGGAAAUGUAAACAGCAAAAAAGUUAGAGCCCUAUCGCACAGCUUGCUCCAAGUUUCAAAAUUACCUUCUGUCCCUCCUGGACUUGGGACCAUUAUUUUUCCUUCAGAUAUGCCAGUCAGCAACCACAGAUGGCCUCCCCAAUUACCAGGUGAAUUUAGGAUAAACUGUAUAUGACACAUGGUGCUGUGAAGUGUCCUACUUGAGGACUAAUUAUGUCUUUCAGUCUGUUAUGAGGUUACCUGUAAUUUAAAUCAGAUUCUGGUCUAACUGUGUAAUAAUAAUUUGCUUUCUAUUCUA